AUUAACUCUCACCAUUAGUUACAGGAUGAACUAUUCUUGCCACCUGAUACUUUUGGUUAUGUAACUCUCAAUUAUUCUUCACAUUUAAUUAUUUCCCACAUGCUCCUUUGGUAAUGUGACCGGAUAUACUGUAUGGAUUCCAUUGAUUCGUAAUUUUUCCAUUAAGGGAUAGAUGCUAGCUUACAUGCAUGGGAAAAAAAUGCAUCCAGUUCUUACGUCAGCACCUUGAAGGAAUGUGAGAGACAUCUUUACCUAAUCUCAGUCUUUCAGGCGGAGCACAGUCUUUGUCCACCUACAGACUGAACCUGUGUGACAAGAUGUGAAACUCUUAGACAGGACAACUACACCUGUAAUGACAGCCACACAUGCAAGGAAAGAAUCUUUCAAGACAUAAGAUAUUUCAUCAGACAUAAGGGAUUUAAAAACCAAGACAAACCAAAAAAAAUGAAGACUCCAGCUAAACCUCCUCGACCUCCUCAUCCUACUUUGGGAACCAGUGGCAGUUGUGACACAAUCCACAUGCCAGUACCCAAAUCACCAUCAUUACCCAGGUCACCUGCUACUUACCAAAGUCCUGCUAAUUAUUCCAGAGCCAUUGAUUGGGCAAAAGUAGACGAUGCUGAUGCUGAUUCACAGAAAACCAAUCCCAUUCCACCUCGUCCUCUCAUCCAACCCAAAUACAAGAGCAAAGCCAGUCUGAGCCCCCUCCCUGGAACCAUGGAAAAGCCCCAGAGGCCCAUCAGUCCCAAGGUCCCGCCACGAUCUCCAGCAUUAUCCAGGUCACUAACACCUCAGUUACAGGAUCCUGAGGAUAGAAAUCAACAUGUCUAUGAGACGCCUCUUCCUAUUUCCCAGGGCCAUCAAUCACCUAUAACCCAUGGUGCUGCUUAUUUGAGCCCUGGUUUAGUUCAUAGAGGAAUAUACAACAGAAGUCCAUCACCAAGCUUUCACAAAUCAGAUUUUGAACUGACGUCUCAGCAACCAAGAUUAAAUUCUUGGAUGUCUCACAACACUAAGACAACGAUUAAAUCAAAGGCCCUGUCACAAGAUGAUGGAAACCUGCCAGCACGCCCAGCUCUGCCACCUCCGCGCCCGCCAGCACACGCCCUUUCACACGUAUAUGAGCUAGAGCCUCCGGCAUUGCCUACAACAUCCCACGUGACAGACCACAAGUCGGGCAUUGCCAGUAGAGGCCGAAGUCCCCCACCGCGAAGACCACCUUUCUUACCACGCCCACCCCUUUCCACUGCUCCAGCCAUUUACCGGGAUACUUCAGCCCAUGAACAGCCCCCAGCAUAUUUGGAUAUUUUGCCUGAUAAGAAAGCCCACCAGGUAAGUCAGACAUCUAGAGAAUUUCAGCAAAACAGAUUGUAG
ensembl:lncRNA